GGAUGUGAGGGCGAUCUGGCUGCGACAUCUGUCACCCCAUUGAUCGCCAGGGUUGAUUCGGCUGAUCUGGCUGGCUAGGCGGGUGUCCCCCUCCUCCCUCACCGAUCCAUGUGCGUCCCUCCCGAAGCUGCGCGCUCGGUCGAAGAGGACGACCUUCCCCCCCGAGGAGAGGACCGGUCUUCGGUCAAGGGUAUACGAGUAGCUGCGCUCCCCUGCUAGAACCUCCAAACAAGCUCUCAAGGUCCAAAGUGUACUAUAGUGGAUGCUGUGGAACACUGCCCAGAUACCACCUUCAGGACCAAGACCCCUACCCCUCAAUUUGUUGAGUCCUU
rnacentral:snRNA from 1 species